UUGGUAUCGCCUCUCUACCCACCCCCGCUCCCGCUUCUGUGUCUCUUAGUGUCUCUUGUUCUCCCCUUUCUCUGAAUAUUUGGCCCCCCGUCUCUGCCCUUACUGCUUUGAGACCCUGGCCCCUCCUUUCUAAGUCUCUGCGCUCCCUCUGGGUCUUUGUCCUAUUGUUCUCUGAAUCUGUCCCCUUCCUUCUGAGUCUUGCUCCUCUUUUCUCUAAGCCUGUCUUCUCUUACCUGACCGUGUCUCUGUCUCCCCACCCCCAGUCUCUUUCUCUUGGCCUCUGUACCUUUUUCUCGGAUUUGCCUCUCUCUGGGUCUCUGUCCCCUUUUCUCUUGGGUUUCUGUCCCCCUCUCUCUGGGUCUCUGUUCCUUCCAGUCUCUGUCCCUCCUAUUUGUGUCUCUGUCCUUCAUUCCUCCCCCCCACCCCAGGGUCUGUUCUCUUCUCUCUUCGGGUCUCUGCCCAUCCAUCUGAGUCUUUGUCCCCCUAGCUCUUGUUCUCUGACCACUUCCUUCCCCGUGUCUUUUUCCCCUCCUCCGUUUCUUUCCCCCUGUCACUGCCUUUUCUCUUUCCGUCCUUUCUUUCUUUAAUUUCCCUGGGUCUCUAUCCCCCUGCACCCCAUGCCUCUUUCACCCCUUUCUGAAUCUCUGUCCCUCUUUUUCUGGGUCUCUGUCCCCACUUCUUUGGGCCUCUGUCCUGCUGUCCUUCAGUCUCUGUCCCUCUCUGGAUCUCUGUCCUUUUCUCUCAGGCUUCCACCGCAUCACCCUCUCUAACCCUCAUCCUGGCCAGGACUCGAGGCUGCGUCACUGCAGAGUUGCAGAAGCGGGGCCCGUCCCGCGGACCAGGGAGGUAGUUUCCCUCAACUCCCCCACCCCCAGGCCUGGGUGCUCCCACUGCCCCCGAUCCAGUGUUCUCGGGCAGUCCUCAAGCCCACAUGGGACCCAGAAGGACAGAGAAAAGACAUCGGGGCUUCCUACUCUUCUCUACCUCGAAUCCCGCUGUAUCCCAGGCAGAAGCAGUGAAGUCUGAGCAGCCAGGCACCGAGUCAAGUUACCAAAUCAGCGUUUUUGCGGAGCAAGCCGGACAGCAACUUUUUUUCUGCAAAAGUCACGAGCUUAAAGGGGGAAAAAAAAAAAAGGGAAACGACCCAGGAUUUGCAUGGUGGUGCAGUGGUUAAGAGUCCGACACAGUUCAAGCCCUGGUCCGGGAGGAUCCCACAUGCCAUGGAGCAACCAAGCCCAUGCACCACAACUACUGAGCCUGCCCUCUAGAGCCCAUGCUUCGCAGCAAGAGAAGCCACCACCGUGAGAAGCCCAUGCACCACAACGAAGAGUAGGCCCUGCUCGCCUCAGCUAGAGAAAGCCUGUGCACAACAACGGAAGACCCAACGCAGCCAAUAAAUAAAUAAAUAAACAUAUUAAAAUAUAUAUAUAUAUAUUCCAGAUAUAUCAAAUGUGCAUCACGCUUGAUGUGCGAUGUAAAAUUAUAAGAGCACUGGGAGGAAGUAAAAUGUUUAAAUAAUUCUAGAAAAAGGAGGGCUUUUCUUAGUAUGAUACCAAGAUCAGAAAUCAUGGGAGAAAUAUUGAUGUGUGACUCUAAAAUUUUAAACUUCUGUACACCCUUCCCCCAACACAAAAGCUGUGAAUAGUUAAAAGAGAAAAAAAAAAUCUAGUGGAAAUAAUUACAAGUUGUAUGUCAAAGAGUUAGUAUCUCUAAAAUGCAAAGAGCUUCUACAAAUAAAUAAGAAUAAGAUAAGCAGCACAGUUAUUCCUGAGUCUCAUAUUUCUGCAGAGACACAGACUGCCUAUGUCCAGAGUGUCUUUGCAAGGAUUUUGUUUAGUGAACAGCCUUGGAAGAGAGACAGUGUCUCGCUCUCUGGAGCAAAGGGCAGACGCAUAUGAUCAUUAUAAGAGAUGUGGGUUCCCUAAGCCUAGGGUUCCCUUGCUUAAUGCAACUCACGACCUGUGAGGCUAUCACUUGACUCCAUUCCUUUCACCCUGUGGGAACUAGAGCCCAGAAAGCUGGCACAAAACUGGCUACUGUUAUUGCUGGGAGUAAUAGACUGUCCUUUGUCUCAGACCUGGGAAUCUUGUAUCUUCCACCAGCAGGCAUGAAACUGUGGCAAGCUAACCUCAGUUCUUGACAUUAAGUAGGAAAAUGGUCAAAAAAAAAAAUAAGCAGGUAAUUUUCAAAAGAAGUACAACUUCUAAACGCAUGGAAAGAUGUUCAACCCCAAU